AGUGAACGCUGGCGGUAGGCCUAACACAUGCAAGUCGAACGGCAGCACAGUAAGAGCUUGCUCUUACGGGUGGCGAGUGGCGGACGGGUGAGGAAUACAUCGGAAUCUACUUUUUCGUGGGGGAUAACGUAGGGAAACUUACGCUAAUACCGAAUACGACCUACGGGUGAAAGCAGGGGAUCUUCGGACCUUGCGCGAUUGAAUGAGCCGAUGUCGGAUUAGCUAGUUGGCGGGGUAAAGGCCCACCAAGGCGACGAUCCGUAGCUGGUCUGAGAGGAUGAUCAGCCACACUGGAACUGAGACACGGUCCAGACUCCUACGGGAGGCAGCAGUGGGGAAUAUUGGACAAUGGGCGCAAGCCUGAUCCAGCCAUACCGCGUGGGUGAAGAAGGCCUUCGGGUUGUAAAGCCCUUUUGUUGGGAAAGAAAAGCAGCAGGUUAAUACCCCGCUGUUCUGACGGUACCCAAAGAAUAAGCACCGGCUAACUUCGUG
rnacentral:rRNA from 1 species